CCUACGGGAGGCAGCAGUGAGGAAUAUUGGUCAAUGGACGAGAGUCUGAACCAGCCAAGUAGCGUGAAGGAUGACUGCCCUAUGGGUUGUAAACUUCUUUUAUAUGGGAAUAAAAUGUUCCAAGUGUGGGAUUUUGUAUGUACUAUAUGAAUAAGGAUCGGCUCACUCCGUGCCAGCAGCCGCGGUAAUACGGAGGGUCCGAGCGUUAUCCGGAGUUUUUGGGGUUAAAGGGUGCGUAGGUGGAUUGGUAAGUCUGUUGUGAAAGUUUGCGGCUCAACCGUAAAAUUGCAGUUGAAACUGACAGUCUUGAGCACAGUAGAGGAGAGCGGAAUUCGUAGUGUAGCGGUGAAAUGCGUAGAUAUCACGAGGAACACCGAUUGCGAAGGCAGCUCACUGGACUGCAACUGACACUGAGGCUCGAAAGUGUGGGUAUCAAACAGGAUUAGAUACCCUUGUAGUC
rnacentral:rRNA from 1 species